rnacentral:rRNA from 1 species
AUUGAACGCUGGCGGCAGGCUUAACACAUGCAAGUCGAGCGGGGUGAUGGUGCUUGCACUAUCACUUAGCGGCGGACGGGUGAGUAAUGCUUAGGAAUCUGCCUAUUAGUGGGGGACAACAUCUCGAAAGGGAUGCUAAUACCGCAUACGUCCUACGGGAGAAAGCAGGGGAUCACUUGUGACCUUGCGCUAAUAGAUGAGCCUAAGUCGGAUUAGCUAGUUGGUGGGGUAAAGGCCUACCAAGGCGACGAUCUGUAGCGGGUCUGAGAGGAUGAUCCGCCACACUGGGACUGAGACACGGCCCAGACUCCUACGGGAGGCAGCAGUGGGGAAUAUUGGACAAUGGGGGGAACCCUGAUCCAGCCAUGCCGCGUGUGUGAAGAAGGCCUUAUGGUUGUAAAGCACUUUAAGCGAGGAGGAGGCUCUUUUGGUUAAUACCCAAGGUGAGUGGACGUUACUCGCAGAAUAAGCACCGGCUAACUCUGUGCCAGCCGCCGAGUAA